AAAUAAGUGUAAAAAAAUUUUUUUAAAGGUAAGUUCAAACAAUCAUGUUACUGCUUGAGAAUCUGAAUUAAGUAACAGAAGAGGGGUACCUGGCUGGCUCAGUCAGAGGAGCAGGUGACUCUUGAUCUCAGGGUAUUCAGUUCGAGCCCCACAUUGGGUGCAGAGAUACCUAAAAAUAAAAUAUAUUAAAAAAGGAAACAGAGACGAUGAGGACUCAGUAGUGGGAGGUGAUAGGCUGGAGUUAUGAGGGGCACACAAUGCAAAUCAGACACAGCAGGAAAGAGACCACACCUGGCAACCAGCAGAGCCACCCCCUCCCGCCCCCUUUCCCAGUAGCCUUCACAUUCCCAUUUCAAUGUGUGUAUGUCUUUGUAGUCAACACUCUGUCCCACCCAAUCACCCAAGGUAAUUCCAGGAGGGUUACUUAUGCCUUGCAGCUAAGGUUUUUAAUAAAUGUCCCUACAUGGACCCAGAAUUGAAACCCAGGCUUCUGAGUCCAGUGCUCUUUCUACUUUUCCAGGGCUUAGGGACAUUAUCUUUGUGCAAAUUUUAGCAGAAGGCAAUGCAAAAAUGGUGUAUAUUAAAUGUAUUUUAAUGACAAUGAAAAAAGCUAUCUUCGUGACUAUGAGUGGGAGGAAACAGCCAUUGAGGCAAACCAAAUCCCCUCUCAAUUUAAGCUCGACCAGUUCGAGGGUCCCAAGAAACUGAAAACAGGCCUUUAACGGAGUACUUAUUUGUUCAAGGCGUCUGCCUUCUCUGCUCUUUCAACACAGAUCCCCAGGAGUUCUGGUCGCCCCCUCCACCACCUGCCACCAGGCUUGCUGGGCAGGUGGGGCCAAAAGAGGAAGACAGGUGGCCACUUGAGCACGUGGCUUCUGCCCUUCAAGUUUCAAGGCUGCCUGCAAAGAAUGCCAAGAUUUUGGUUUCUAUCGAUGUGUGGCUUUUGACACGCGAGCUAAUGAAUAUAUUCCAGGUGCAAAUCUUUCUUUCCCACGAGCUGUUUCUGCGGGUCUCCAGUGAGACAAUUACCCGGUUCUACUUAGCAGAAUGACUCAAGGACGGAUCUAAGGGCUGGCUCGUGACAAAGCCUGGAUGUUUUCCUGCCCUCUUCCCUGGCUUUAGAAAUUGCAUUGAAAAGUUAACGUACACAAUGUUGCAGCUCCCCUCGUUGUCCCCCACGCAGCUGCUUGUGAGGGCAGCCGGCUCUCCAGUGCUCCCGGCAGGCACUGCUUUUCAAGCGCUGAAUGGGUAGGUUCACAACUCCCCGCAAUGACAACGGUGGACUCAGAGGGGCUGGCUCACUCCCUCAUUUCUCUGCAGAGAUGCCUCUACUUAACGAUUACCUACCUGGGUGUCACCUUUUGAAACUGACUGAAAAGAGCUUAUCUUAUAAUCAACAUUUCCCAGAAAUCACUCGCAAGCCACAGGCUAUGAAAAGAAACAGAUUUUGAGAAAUUGCACUUAAUGUACGUUGUCAAAAGUCUGCAGAGCUGAAGGCCAGCACUUUGAAUAUUUUCAGAUUUGAUUUUCCAAAGAAAGGCUGUUUGAAGCUGCAGAUAUCUGGAGGCGCUGAUAAAAAACAAGAGGGAGAUGUCCUAUUGGAGCUGUAUUUUCAGGAGCAUGAGGGAGACCAUUUUAAAGAUUGCAAGAUUCUAUCUAUCAACAUUUUGAAGAUGCUAGACAUCUUGAGGGGAGACAAAGCUCAAGCUAGCCAUAAAUAAACUUGAGUAGUAUUCAAGAAGAUGUUAUUAAAGAGUCUCUGGGAAUGGCUAUACAGUCUGUGAAUUUGGAUUCUACCAAGUAAAAAAGAUAAUCAGAAUAUCCUAGCAACCAGAAUAAAGAGAAGAGUAUAAAGACUGAGGCAGAUGGCAAGAUGCACAUCAACUUAUUCCUCAUCAUCCAAGGCGAUCAAUGCAAAUAUUCUGGUAUACUUUCUUUCAUGUUUUUACCUGUGCCAUUCUAGAAGGGAUUUGGGAAAAAAAUCUAUAUAAGCCUGAACCCCCUUGGCCUACAGUUGUAUAAUGUUUUUUUCCCGUUCAUAGUGUGAUGGUCUUUGAUGUGUUCACUUGGCUGGGCUAUAGUCCUUGGUUAUUGAGAAACUAAUCUAAGUAUUACUGUAAAGGUAUUUUGUAGAAGUGAUUAAAGUUGAUAAAUCGACUUCAAUCUGGGUAGGCAGGAUUGAAUCAGUUCAAAGGCCUUAAGAGCAGCUCCUCCAGCUUCCCUGAAGAAAAAAUUUCACCUGCAGAUAGCAGUUUCAGACCCUGCUGAAGAGUUCCAGCAUGCCCUUUCUGAUGGUGUGCCCUACAGAGUUUUGGACUUGCCUAGCCAGCACCACAAAUGUGUAGGCCAAUUCCUUGUAAUAAAGUCCCCAGGGCAUUUCCAGGCAUCAGGAACUAUCUACUCCAAUGUUAGAUUGGAGGACAGGAAAAUUCCUAGCAGAAGCCAACUGGAGACACUUCUCUUUCUUCAGGAUCCCUAGGUCAAUUCCAAUACUUUCAUUUUUUUCACCUAUAGACAUUGCAUAAAGAAUACAAGUACAAAAUAUUAUUUGGGUGUUGUGGUAAACUAGGAAUAAUUGGGCACAAGGUUAUGACUGAUUUUUAGCCCAUCCUAAAAUUUCUAUCUUACUGUAUCCAGGGCAGGGUAUGGAGAGGGGAUAAACCACUUAAUCUUGGUAAACCCCAAAACAUAUGUGAAACUAGAAAAAAGUUAUUCACUGUAUUAUAUACAUGAUAACUGAGCCUAUUGAGUAACAGUUCAAGGAAACUGGCAAAGCUGUUACCCCAGUGAGAUUUAAUGUAACUUUUCAGAGUGGUGAAAUCAAUCACUUAAGUAGCAGAGUGAAAUUAUUGUCAUGUGGCAUAAAUAACUGCUUAUUCAUUUUCUGUAAUCACCUUUAUGACAUUAAACAGCAUGAUCAAUAGCGCUCUAUUUAUACAAUUUUGUUUUGUCAUACACAGACCUCUACCAUAAGAAAUGGGACAUGAUUUUCUUGUGGUGAAUUUGUGAUAAUACUUACUUGAGGUCUCUACUGAGAACUAUAUUAAUUCUGUCCUUUAAAGGUCGAUUCUUCUCUGGAAUAGAGAACCAUGUCUUUCUACCCAUAAUCACCAAAUUCUGUUUACCUAGAAAAUCACAUAAAAAUAAGUAUAUUCUGGGAGUAUACAUUUAUAUUUUCAUACAUUCAUUUAUAUGCGCAGAGAUAGGACUGUCACAGUGACACCUAGUGGCUCUGCUCUUUAAAAAUUAAAACUUAAAACAGGCUUACAAAAUUGACAUUUAUCACCCAUUUCCUAAAUAUACUAUUUUUCUCUUUGGUGUUAUCUGAUUUAUAUCCAAUAUUUAGUUUUAAUCAAUUGCAAUUAUGUAUAAUAGUGAAGAGCCAAGAUUCUGGGACAAAGUGCUGAAGCUGAAUGUAUUCAGUCAUCUACUAGGCAAGUCAUGAAUCUUCUGUGCCUUAUGUUAAUGGAGAUAACAGUAGUUCCUAGUUCUAGGGUUAUUGUGGGGAUUGAGGAUUUAGAACAUUUAGUAAGUACUGUUUAACUGUUUGAUGUAAUAGUAUUAUUCAUUUGUAUACUUUGUAUUUAUAUUAGUAGGCAUACUUUUAAAGAUAGCUGUUUAGUGUUCCACUCAAUUAAAAAGCCAAAAUGCUUUCAAU